rnacentral:rRNA from 1 species
GACGAACGCUGGCGGCGUGCCUAAUACAUGCAAGUCGAACGGUCUUUUCUAUGGAAGCUUGCUUCCACUGAGAAGAUAGUGGCGAACGGGUGAGUAACACGUGGGUAACCUGCCCAUAAGAGGGGGAUAACAUCCGGAAACGGGUGCUAAUACCGCAUAGUUCUCUUGGUACCAUGAUCGAGAAAGGCAAGACGGCCUUUGUGCUGUCGCUUAUGGAUGGACUCGCGGCGUAUUAGUUCGUUGGUGAGGUAACGGCUCACCAAGACGAUGAUACGUAGCCGACCUGAGAGGGUGAUCGGCCACAUUGGGACUGAGACACGGCCCAAACUCCUACGGGAGGCAGCAGUAGGGAAUCUUCCGCAAUGGACGAAAGUCUGACGGAGAAACGCCGCGUGAGUGAAGAAGGUUUUCGGAUCGUAAAACUCUGUUGUCAGAGAAGAACAAGUCGGAGAGUAACUGCUCCGGCCUUGACGGUAUCUGACCAGAAAGCCACGGCUAACUACGUGCCAGCCGCCGCCGUAACAC